rnacentral:rRNA from 1 species
UUAAACUGAAGAGUUUGAUCAUGGCUCAGAUUGAACGCUGGCGGCAGGCUUAACACAUGCAAGUCGAACGGUAACGGGUUGAAAGCUUGCUUUCAAUGCUGACGAGUGGCGGACGGGUGAGUAAUGCUUGGGAAUCUGGCUUAUGGAGGGGGAUAACCAUUGGAAACGAUGGCUAAUACCGCGUAUUAUCGGGAGAUGAAAGGGGGCGAAAGCACCUGCCAUAAGAUGAGCCCAAGUGGGAUUAGGUAGUUGGUGAGGUAAAGGCUCACCAAGCCUGCGAUCUCUAGCUGGUCUGAGAGGAUGGCCAGCCACACUGGGACUGAGACACGGCCCAGACUCCUACGGGAGGCAGCAGUGGGGAAUAUUGCGCAAUGGGGGGAACCCUGACGCAGCCAUGCCGCGUGAAUGAAGAAGGCCUUCGGGUUGUAAAGUUCUUUCGGUGGUGAGGAAGGUUGUGAUGUGAAUAGCAUCAUGAUUUGACGUUAGCCACAGAAGAAGCACCGGCUAACUCCGU